UAUUGAACAAUGAACAUUUCUUAUGUUUUCAAAGCGGACGGAAUCUUCAAACAGCGCACCAGAGCUUUUUUAAUAGAUUCGUUCCAAAGGAAGCUAUUGACUGACUGAACAAUAUAGCUGCGUAAGAAAUUGUCAAUCAACUUCAAAAUUUAGCCCAAUUGCUGGACACAACACAAAGUUCUAGAAAGUUUCAAGACACGAGGGUGACUCCGAACUAAGGGGGAAGCUGUUGUGCAAUUUCUUUCCAUUCGUUCACAUUUCCGUGGAUAUUUGACGAUCGUUGGAAUUCAGAGAGGAUAAAAAAAUGCCUGACCGAGCGCCCGUGGCCACCCACAACGAAACUGGUAAAAUGAUGUUGUGUCAUGUCUUUCGGCCAUGUAAACUAAUCAUGUGGAGCUCAUGGAUCAUUUUCUUCUUAGUCAAUUUGGAGACGCAAGGUAAUGUUCUUUGGUUAAGCCUUUAAUCCCUAAGAGUGACCAGCAUCUAAUUUAAGAAGUUUUGAUUGCAAAACAAAUUCUCCUUGUCAAAAACUUAGGAAAUGUAGAGAGAACAGUAGGGAGAUUAUUCUUACUCAUGUU